rnacentral:rRNA from 1 species
UACGGGGGGGGCAAGCGUUGUUCGGAAUUACUGGGCGUAAAGGGCUCGUAGGCGGCCAACUAAGUCCGACGUGAAAUCCCCAGGCUUAACCUGGGAACUGCGUCGGAUACUGGAUGGCUUGAAUUCGGGAGAGGGAUGCGGAAUUCCAGGUGUAGCGGUGAAAUGCGUAGAUAUUGGGAGGAACACCGGUGGCGAAGGCGGCUACCUGGACCGGUACUGACGCUGAGGCGCGAAAGCUAGGGUAGCAAACAGG